UACGUGGGGUGCAAGCGUUGUUCGGAAUUACUGGGCGUAAAGCGCGUGUAGGCGGCUGAUUAUGUCAGGUGUGAAAGCCCUCGGCCUAACCGAGGAAGUGCGCCUGAAACUGAUCGGCUUGAGUACGAGAGAGGGGGACGGAAUUCCCAGUGUAGAGGUGAAAUUCGUAGAUAUUGGGAGGAACACCGGUGGCGAAAGCGGUUCCCUGGAUCGAUACUGACGCUAAGACGCGAAAGCGUGGGUAGCAAACAGG
rnacentral:rRNA from 1 species